GCAACCAGCCAGCCUAUGAUGAGAAGCAUCUAAGCUUAAGCUGUUCCACAUAUAGAAGAAUUGCUACAGGAUUUAAAGGAACAAGAAGUGGUGGGGGAGUGCCAAAGUCCAUACAAUUCUCCGCUCUGACCUGUGCGGAAAGCGGACGGAAGGUGGGGCCUCACAAUUGAUUACAGAAAAAUCAAUGCAGCUAUAGUCCCGCUGGCACCAGUAGUAGCUAAUCUCCCAGCUAUACUGGGUGGAAUAGCGGCAGCUGCUAAAUGGUUCUCUGUAUUGGACAGUGCUGUUUCUUUGCCGUUCCAUUGACCCCUGAGAGUCAGCCUCAAUUUGCUUUUACAUUCCAGAACAAACAGUUGACAUUUCAACGUGUCCUCAUGGGUACCAUGAUGCUCCAGCUACGGCACAUGCACACGUGACAAGGGUGUGGGAUCAACUCCCUGAUUUGGAUAAGCCACAGGUUACUUCUUAUGUGGAUGACAUACCGAUAAUAGCCAUUUCCCCGGAGGAGUGUAAACAUCGAACUAAGCUGGUCCUGGCAGUAGGGGAGAACACAGGCUUUAAAUUAUCCUGGGACAAGGCACAGCUGGUACAACAAGAAGUCGAACACUUAGGUAUAUCUUGGGACAGUGGUAAAAGCAUUAUUAUUAAUUAUGGGAAUCCAGCAAAAAUGGCAUAUAGUCUACCACCCACAGUGUGCAGGAAAAGUGGAAAGGAAGAAUAGAGAAAUAAAAACAGCCUUGACCACGCAAAUUCAAACACAAGGCUGAGACUGGGAAAUUGCUUUACUCACAAUCCUGAUGACCAUGAGAGCCUUGGGACAAGCUGAAAGGAAGUACUCACCUUUUCAGUUAAUGACAGGUCGAGCUAUGAGGACUCCUGAAUUCCUACUCCCACCUAGAAAACAGAUACCUGAGCGGGUGCGAAGGCAAUUGGAAUUUGGAAUGGAAAGGAGGUAACCUCACCACGAAUUUACCGUGGAAAAAUGGUUGGUGGGGAUUAUAUGAAAUAAACCAAGAUAUAUGUUGGCAUCGAAAGGAAAAGGGUAAUGUAACAAUAAGCAACCAAAGCCAGUUUAUGGACCAAGGGAUGUUGUGCACUAGUGGAGAUAUAACUCAUUUCCAGUACAAACAAUAUCAAUAGCACCCUCAAAUGACUAAAACCUUUAUGCCUCGCCCUAGAUUAACAUUGCCAAAUUUGGGGGAAAUAGAGUGGAAUGAUACAGACUGGGAUAUGGAGAUACAAACUAAUCAAGGCACACUGGACCAAAUACAACGGUCAACUAAACUAAUAAUAUCUGUAAAAGGCAUGCUUGCUCGAAAGUAGAAAAUUGUUGAAAAAGCUGUAGAAAAAAUAAGAUCUCAAAUGUGUGCUUGGUAUGAUGUUGUAUGUCAGGUCACAACAUGGAAUGGAAUUGAAUGGUCAAUGUUAUUUUGGAUUUCUGGAACUGCCGUAUUAUUCGUUGUAUGUUUCUGUUGUGAAUAUCAGAUGUGUAAGCAAUAUAAGGAAAUACAAGCUUUGUGGAAAAUUUAUAAGAUUGAGUUGUUGGAUUAUGCUACUAAUCAUCGUAAAAUAAUGCUUUAAGUUUUACAGAAACCAGAAAAGGAGACACAUGAUCGAAUAGUUAGCGUACAAAUUGCAGGUAUGAUUGAUGCAAUAUUACAAUUAUCUUUGGUAACUGAAUAUCGAAUGGAGGACUGUUGGGAUGGUGCCAAAUUGGUGUGGCCGGGCUGAAUGAAUGGCGUGAGUAUAACUUAACAUGUCGUAAACAUGGCUGAAGGGCUGCUGAGGAUCCUGGGAGCAGGCUCCCUUUAAGCAGAUUUGAUAAAGGACUGGCAAAGUCUGCGUGUAUAAUCAAUAUUGAACCUACUGGUCGGCAAAUACGGGCCCAUGCGAAAGUAAAUAUCACAUGUAGGAAGUUCCAGCAUGGAGCACAGGUUGAUCUGGUUGUAGUGACCUUACAGCAAGGAGAGCCAGUGAACGACAGAUGAGCGAGUAAACAUCGGGUGAUCUUCGUUCGGUACCACCACCACCACCCAGCCCCUUCUAAAAAUACUAAUCAGGUAAAAUUAGUCACCACGCCCCCUGGGCAUGCUUUUAAGGCAUGUGACUCCUCUGAGGAGAAAGAGUAAGAAUCAAGCAAAAUAAAUUACUGUGGUUUGGAUUCCUUAAUUGACGCUUGAAGAAGCAACGCUGCCAGACAGAGCAGCCAAACCUCUGCUCCGUGGGCUCGAGUAGGACUGUGAGCCAGAGGGGUCUCAGGGCACAAGGCCUUGUCUCGAGGGAAUCGGAGACAGACCAGAGGGCUGACAAUAACAGACCGGCAGAGAAGAAGCCAUCUAUAAAAUGGUAACCAUCUUCUCUGUUUGCCAAGCAAAAACUGCGUGAGGCUAGUGCAGGGCCUGUUUGUGAAAGAGAGACUCGUUAAGAGGAAUGUGUCGCUCUUAAUAUCUAACAUAGGAGUUAUGUGCUUAAUAUAACCCUUUACCGCUUGUGUAAUUCCUUCUCAAUAAACUGCUGUGUAGUGAAGAUAAUUACUGUGGACCUUUUUCACUGGUUUGACAGUAAUCUUCUCCACCGGGAGCCAGUAAAGGUCCAUUUCAGGGGUAGUAGUGCCCCCCUUUUGUCAACAUGGGGGCUACCCUGUCCCAUCCCUGAUCAGGGUCCCCUCCUGGGAAUGGUCAGCACCCUCCAUUCCCACUGCCUUCUGAGAGCAUCCAGCACCAUGCAGGAUUGGGCCUCAGCUUCCCUGCCGUGGCAGAUCCAGAAGCACAGAGUCCCCAUCAAGCUAAGAGAAGUAAAGGCAUGAAAGUUAUUUCAGGGAGCUCCUCCAUGCCUUCCUUCCCCCAUUGUCUCGGCACCUUCCUGGAACAGACACAAGAGAAGCAGCCCAGCUUUCCAAACACCAGCAGCCCAAGGCCACCAGUGAAUUAACCCAGCAGUGGCACCUCCCAAUAGCUGGCCUGUAUGAAAGAAAAACAUCAGCUCAGUCUAGGAACAAUGUCCUGUUUCCCUAGGCAAGAGAACCAGGAUACACCAGCCGGCCACACAGCCUGAGAACCAAGGUGAGCCAGACGGUGAGCUCCUGCCAGGGAGGAAACAGACCCAAGGCUGAAGCAUGACAUUUCCUGGAGCUUUCCCCACCCAGCCAGGGAUCUGGAGACGGAGUGAGACCCUGGCUGGAUGGCAAAAGCCCCAGGAAAUGUCAUGUCAUCCUCUAGGGGCAGAAGCAACAAGGAGCACCUGGGCUGCACCUGUUGCCUCAGGAUCCCAAUGUGCUUUUCAAGCUGGGAUCAUCCGUACCCUACAGAUGGAGAAACUGAGGUACAGAGAGGAGAAGCGACAGCAAGUGGACUGAGGUCUGCUGUUAACCAGUUCCCUGCUCCUCCCCAGAUCACGCCCUGCUCCCAGCACUGGCAACGCUUGGAUGGUGGUAACCAGCUCAGGGGUAGUUGCCAAUGGUUCACAAGUCGGCCAUGGGCAGGAUUCCCUUAGUCAGCAGAGCAUAAAUAAGAGGUAAGAAAAGGGGGUGAAAACCCCAUCCUAGUCCCAGGAGGCCCCAGAGCAAGUGCCAGUCAACACACGCCAAUGCUCUGUAACAGUCCAUGCAACGGGUCUCUCUCAGCAGGAUCCCGGCCAUGGCGAAGUCUGAGCGGCAUCCCAGGGGACCCUGCUUCUCAGAAGAGCAGGUGCAGCAGAACCUUAGGGUUAUGAACACCAGGGUUACGAACUGACCGGUCAGCCACACACCUCCUUUGAAACCGGAAGUACGCAAUCAGGCAGCAGCAGAGACCAAAUCAAUCAAUUAAUAAAGCAAAUACAGUGCUGUACUGUAUUAUAUGUAAACUACUA